AGAGAGAGACAUGCGCGCAUAUCAAUAAGCGGAGGAAAAGAAACUAACAAGGAUUCCCCUAGUAACGGCGAGUGAAGCGGGAAGAGCUCAAAUUUGAAAUCUUAAAGGGUUUCCCUUUACGAAUUGUAGUUUAAAGAAGUGUUUUCUGUUGAGGUUUUGGUAAAAGUUCUUUGGAAUAGGACAUCAUAGAGGGUGAGAAUCCCGUAUUUGACCUUUACUUUCAACUUUGUGAUACACUUUCAAAGAGUCGGAUUGUUUGGGAAUGCAGUCCAAAAUGGGUGGUAAAUUUCAUCUAAAGCCUAAAUAUUGGCGAGAGACCGAUAGCGAACAAGUACCGUGAGGGAAAGAUGAAAAGAACUUUGAAAAGAGAGUUAAACAGUACGUGAAAUUGUCAAAAGGGAAGCGUUUGACACCAGUGUUGUUUUUCUGAAAAUCAAUUAAAGAACUGUUUAUGCUAAGCUGUUUAGACUUUAUCAGCUAACUGUUUAGUUUUGAGCUUUUCUUUAAUGCACUUUUCAGUUAACAAGUCAACAUCAAUUUCUUUUGCUGUAAAAAAGCUUGAGGAAGGUGGCUUGAGAUUCGUCUUAAGUGUUUAUAGCCUCUUGCCUAUGCAGUCGGAGAGAUUGAGGUCUGCAGCGUAGAUCCUUCGGGGCUAAAUGCAUUUGUGCUAAGUUAUAGCAUUUUAUAGACAACUUGUUGACUAUGAUUUGUCUUGUAGCUUACUCGCUUAUGUUAUUUUACCUACGCUUAGGAUGUUGAGCGCAUGUCUCUCUCU
rnacentral:rRNA from 1 species